AGCUGAAGUACAGCUAGUAAGGAUGAAUGAUUGACGUAUCUAAUAGUAAUACCUUAAGGUUUUAUUUUAGUAAAAUUAAUGUGUGAUAUUCCUGGAAAUAACUAAAUGCAGCAGCAAGCAGAGGACAAUACUCGGUUCUAGUCCCGGAACCUGCUUUUAAUAGGCUCAGGUUCGCUUGUUGGGUUC